rnacentral:rRNA from 1 species
AUUGAACGCUGGCGGCAGGCCUAACACAUGCAAGUCGAACGAGUGGCGGACGGGUGAGUAAUGUCUGGGAAACUGCCCGAUGGAGGGGGAUAACUACUGGAAACGGUAGCUAAUACCGCAUACCAUCGGAUGUGCCCAGAUGGGAUUAGCUUGUAGGUGGGGUAAUGGCUCACCAAGGCGACGAUCCCUAGCUGGUCUGAGAGGAUGACCAGCAACACUGGAACUGAGACACGGUCCAGACUCCUACGGGAGGCAGCAGUGGAGAAUAUUGCACAAUGGGCGCAAGCCUGAUGCAGCCAUGCCGCGUGUAUGAAGAAGGCCUUCGGGUUGUAAAGUACUUUCAGCGAGGAGGCGUUACCCGCAGAAGAAGCACCGGCUAACUCCGUGCCAGCAGCCGCGGUAAUUC